ACUAGGGAUCGGGCGACCUCAAUUUGAUGUGUCGCUCGGCACCUUACGAGAAAUCAAAGUCUUGGGUUCUGGGGGGAGUAUGGUCGCAAGGCUGAAACUUAAAGGAAUUGACGGAAGGGCACCACCAGGAGUGGAGCCUGCGGCUUAAUUUGACUCAACACGGGGAAACUCACCAGGUCCAGACAUGACUAGGAUUGACAGAUUGAUAGCUCUUUCAUGAUUUUAUGG
rnacentral:rRNA from 1 species